rnacentral:rRNA from 1 species
AGUUGAUCAUGGCUCAGGAUGAACGCUAGCUACAGGCUUAACACAUGCAAGUCGAGGGGCAGCAUGGUCUUAGCUUGCUAAGACUGAUGGCGACCGGCGCACGGGUGAGUAACGCGUAUCCAACCUUCCCCAUAGUAGGGGAUAGCCCGGCGAAAGUCGGAUUAAUACCCUAUGUUAUUCGAUGCAGACAUCUAAGUUGAAUCAAAGGUUUACCGCUAUGGGAUGGGGAUGCGUCUGAUUAGGUUGCAGGCGGGGUAACGGCCCACCUGGCCCACGAUCAGUAGGGGUCCUGAGAGGAAGGUCCCCCACAUUGGAACUGAGACACGGUCCAAACUCCUACGGGAGGCAGCAGUGAGGAAUAUUGGUCAAUGGACGAGAGUCUGAACCAGCCAAGUAGCGUGCCAGGAUGACGGCCCUAUGGGUUGUAAACUGCUUUUAUGCGGGGAUAAAGUGAGGGACGUGUCCCUUUUUGUAGGUACCGCAUGAAUAAGGACCGGCUAAUUCCGUGCCAGCAGCUGC